CUUCGAUUGUGGAACAGUACCGAUUUUGUGCGGAAAAUACUCCUUGUGGAAGAAAUUAAUUAUCGACGAAUUCAUCCCCCAGAAAAAUUCCAGCUACGUACAAGACCUCCUAAAUAUGCAACACGCCACCAUUGAGGCCAAAAGUAACUUUCAGAGCUUUUGCCACUCGGAUAAUGAUAAGCAAAAGCCCCGACUUGGAGAGUUUCAAGUUGUAAAUCAGCUAAAGAGUUAGUGAAAUAAGGAGCAAAUUUUACAAAGUUCGAAACAAGAGCAAGGAAAAUCUGGAUUGACGUUGAUCAAAUCGAGAUGAUCAAACUGUUUUGAACGAGAAUAACUAUAAUUCGGCCAAUCAUCAACCACCAGACGGGAAUUUCUUUGCAGUAAAAAUACGAAAAGAGAUUUGGAAAAGACCUUGACUUGCCAAGCAAACAUGAGAAAAGAGCAGACAUCAUAUUCCCAAAAAGCAUUUGUUGAGUCUAGUUUCCACUCAAUAAAAUCUACAAACCGUACGCCUC